rnacentral:rRNA from 1 species
UACGAAGGGGGCUAGCGUUGCUCGGAAUCACUGGGCGUAAAGGGUGCGUAGGCGGGUCUUUAAGUCAGGGGUGAAAUCCUGGAGCUCAACUCCAGAACUGCCUUUGAUACUGAAGAUCUUGAGUUCGGGAGAGGUGAGUGGAACUGCGAGUGUAGAGGUGAAAUUCGCAGAUAUUGGAUGGAACACCAGUGGCGAAGGCGAUUAACUGGGCCGACAUUGACGCUGAGGCACGAAAGCGUGGGGAGCAAACAGG